rnacentral:rRNA from 1 species
AGAGUUUGAUCAUGGCUCAGGACGAACGCUGGCGGCGUGCUUAACACAUGCAAGUCGAGCGGAAAGGCCCUUUCGGGGGUACUCGAGCGGCGAACGGGUGAGUAACACGUGAGUAAUCUGCCCUUCACUUGGGGAUAACCUCCGGAAACGGUGGCUAAUACCCGAUACGACCAUUCCUCGCAUGAGGUGGUGGUGGAAAGUUUUUUCGGUGGAGGAUGUGCUCGCGGCCUAUCAGCUUGUUGGUGGGGUAAUGGCCUACCAAGGCUUCGACGGGUAGCCGGCCUGAGAGGGUGACCGGCCACACUGGGACUGAGACACGGCCCAGACUCCUACGGGAGGCAGCAGUGGGGAAUAUUGGACAAUGGGCGGAAGCCUGAUCCAGCAACGCCGCGUGAGGGAUGACGGCCUUCGGGUUGUAAACCUCUUUCAGUACCGACGAAGCGCAAGUGACGGUAGGUACAGAAGAAGCACCGGCCAACUACGUGCCAGCAGCCGCGGUAAUACGUAGGGUGCGAGCGUUGUCCGGAAUUAUUGGGCGUAAAGGGCUCGUAGGCGGUUUGUCGCGUCGGGAGUGAAAACACCGGGCUUAACUCGGUGCUUGCUUUCGAUACGGGCAGACUAGAGGUAUGCAGGGGAGAACGGAAUUCCUGGUGUAGCGGUGAAAUGCGCAGAUAUCAGGAGGAACACCGGUGGCGAAGGCGGUUCUCUGGGCAUUACCUGACGCUGAGGAGCGAAAGUGUGGGGAGCGAACAGGAUUAGAUACCCUGGUAGUCCACACCGUAAACGUUGGGCGCUAGGUGUGGGGCCUAUUCCAUGGGUUCCGUGCCGCAGCUAACGCAUUAAGCGCCCGCUGGGGAGUACGGCGCAGGCUAAACUCAAAGGAAUUGACGG